rnacentral:rRNA from 1 species
UACAGAGGUCCCGAGCGUUGUUCGGAUUCACUGGGCGUAAAGGGUGCGUAGGUGGUGAGGUAAGUUUGUGGUGAAAGCUCCGGGCCUAACCCGGAAAAUGCCUCGAAUACUAUCUUGCUAGAGGGUUGUAGGGGAGACUGGAAUUCUCGGUGUAGCAGUGAAAUGCGUAGAUAUCGAGAGGAACCCCAGUGGCGAAGGCGAGUCUCUGGACAACUCCUGACACUGAGGCACGAAAGCCAGGGGAGCAAACGGG